rnacentral:rRNA from 1 species
AUGUUCAGUGCGGCGUGCCGUAUCAGCCUAGGCAAUGGUGAGAAAGCGAAGUUAUGGACGGAUAAGUGGCUACCCGAUGGUCAGUCUAUUGCUAGCACAGCACCAGAGCUGUUCUCCUUUGUGAGAAACAAAGAUAAAUCGGUAAGAGAUGCCAUACAUGGCAGGGCAUGGGUGAGAGACAUCUCUGGAGGUUUAACUCUCAUAGCCAUGGGCCAAUAUCUGAGGAUCUGGGAUAUUGUUCAGGCCACAUCUCUCACGAUUGGUACAAGUGACCGGCCAAUCUGGAAACUCACGCAUGAUCAACAGUUCUCGGUCAAGAGUGCGUACCAAUUGUUCUUCCUCGGGGACACUCGGUUUGCCUGCCACAAGCUGAUAUGGAAAUCUAAAGCGCCGCCGCGGUGCAAUUUUUUUAUGUGGUUGGCGGUACAUGGAAGAUGUCUGACGGCAGAUAACCUAGAGAGAAGGAACUGGCCAUCAAAUGGCACCUGCCCCUUAUGCUCAUCGGCUCUGGAAACCUGCGCCCAUCUUUUUGUGCAUUGUGACUUUACCAGGCUGGUUUGGAUGAGGUUCAGGGCAUGGACAGGGGCAGAUUUCAUUAUACCGGAGGUCAGCUUCAGUUCUACAGAGGAAUGGUGGCUGAAGGCGAGGGUGGGGAUCCCAUAA